AAAAAAGCAAACAAGCUGGAAUCUAGCACAAAAAAAUGAUCGUUAUUAAAAAUAGAAUGAAAGAAUAAACUAUCACGAAGCGGAUGUUGUCCCGGAUGGUUAGCGCGCUCGUACAUUGCCUGUGAGGUUCUGGGUUCGAAACGUCAUGGCGCGCGUUUUUUGAAACGUUUUGCAAAAAACGUAAAGAAAAAAAAGUAUGAUGGGCCGGCCCAGUGCGCGCUGUGGUCAACAUCGCUGCUUGGCCAGACAAAUCCCUGCCAGGUCAGUGUUUUUAUGUAUCAAACCAUGUCAAAGUUUGAUUUAGACCGGGAUUGCAUAGUUUAGGGUGCAAUCGACCGGAAUUUCGACUUGAGAGUUCAUUUCGCCAAACCUCUACGAGUUUAGGGUUUAAAAUGGACUUUUUCCAUUUUAAACACGUCCUUUUCUGUUUACCAGAGUUUGCGACGACGGUACAAGUGUUUCUUAGCGCAAGUACAAGUGUUUUCUUGUCCAAAGAAGAGACCGUGACAGUUGGCACUGAACAAGCGGCGCCCGGCGAUACCCCGUCGAAACCGGCCGGGCCCGGCGGCACGCAGGUGUCCUCCCUCGCACUGACCCAGCCUCCAUUCAUUCAAAAAAAAAAAAAACAUGGCGAAAACAGCACCACGGGGAGGCGGCCGCGGCCGCGGCCAGCGGCCACGCAUCGAGACGACGACGGCGACGCGAAUGAUUGGGAGGAGAGAGGGGCGUACGGCGAGGCGAUCCGGGCAGGGCGGAAGGCGACAAGGGGAAGUGGGCCGCGACAAGAUCCAUGAUCCGAGGAGAUGGAAAAUACAGGGAGUUUAGAGAAAGAUAUUUUUACAGUGAGAUAACAUUGGCCAAAGCUGGAUGUCUGCAAUGCUGCAGCCAAAGCUAUGACAUUGUCUAAACAGUACAUGUCAGCAAGUGGAACGCAGAACAGUUACUCUGUGAGAAGGUACCCAGAUGGGUCAUGAGAGCUGCUCAAUGCCUGGUGUUGGCAGUCAUGAUGUGGUGAGAUAUAAUUUCAAGACGACAAUGCCCUUAGGUUGGUGGAACAUCCAUUAUAAGGAGGAUUCGUAAUAAGUGGGGCAGUAAUUAGUUUGAUGAUGCUUUUUAUUUGGUCUGCCGUACCAGUCCACCAAUCCCUGUUAUACAUUUGGGUAUUAUCAGAAGAGCACAGUCACGUGAUGCACAUGUGAUGCCAUGGAUUCUUGGACGAAUGGCAUGAUCAUCGAUUCAUGGUGCCUGCUCUUGGCAUCUGACACAACAGAUAAACAAUGGAACACCCGAGACUGAAGAUUUUUUUUGGAAAGCUCACCAAGAGUGAAUGAUCAUUUUUGCAUCUUUUAGAUUGAUUGGUGCAUGGAAAGAAAGGUUCCCGAAGAUGCAUUUGGUUGACUGGCAGCAGAGAGGAGAAGAUUACUGGUGAGAUGUGCAUUGCCCCUAGGAGGGGAGCAGGUUUGCACAAAUUAACAAACUAAAAAGACUAUAGUGAUAGAGGACAAGAGACGAUUCCUUGGUAUUAAGACAUCCAUCUAUCCCAUCCCGCCUUCUUCACGGACCUCACCCCUUAUUUUUCUGCUCAAAAUAAUCAUGUUCGCACUCAUAUGAUCCUGCAGCAUGCAUUCAGUUAUCCUCGAGUUCAAACCCUGUUGCCCUGAUCAUUUGCUACUGCAAAGUCCCUAUCUUUAUAUGCUUCAAUCACAUGAAUGAUGAGUUCAAAAAAGAAAGGUAGCCUGCUAUGAUCAUUGCAUGCAGAAAUCUAAUCUUGUGUGCUGCUACAUACUUUUGCAGCAUGUGGCGAUUAUGCACCAAAUAGAAACACAUAUACAAGUGCCACUGCGGUCCCAUUUCAGUCCGAUGUUUUGAACCAUGCUGCACAACGGCCCUAGCCCUCCUAGUGAGGCUAAACAUGCCUUCCUCCCGGAAACUUGUCAUAAACUGUUCAAUAGUUUAUGUGUUGCGCCUUUUUAUGACGCCAUUGUGAUGGUAAAGGUGUUUCAAGCCCCCCGGAUUUUGAUAAUAAAGCGCUCUUCGCACGCCGGCUAGAGAUUAGUGGAGAACCCCAUGACCAAUUAUGUGUUAACUGUUAAGCGAUAGUUAACCCUAAACCUACUCUUAUGAAGAUUUAACAGUGUUGAAGCCACUAUGUGUUUGUUUAAUCGUAAAGGUAAUUAUGCAGUGCGUUGGGGUCACAUGCUCUUUUGGCAUGCCCAAUUGCUUCAUUUGUUUUAGGGCACAUUGUUAGGAUAGGGAGGAAGUGCCAUCUCACUACGAUUAAUUAAGGGCAAGGAAGGAUGCUCUCUGGCACAUGCCUUCCCUUAUGGGGACCAGAAACACAUGGGAGCUACAUAACUAGAGCCCCCCCUCAAGAGGAACAAGGCUGUGGCCCCCUUCGGAGAUCUCUAAGAUUAGAGCUUUCUUGCCCAUAACAUCACCAUAUUCCCCUUCCCUGGUCCAAUUUCCAUAGUAAAUUACAGGUGCACGACACUAAAGCGAUGGUUGAAAGUUGUAGCAUGUUAACUGUCAAUUAUGUUUUCUGCCGUCGGGCAGCUGUAUUUUCUACUCGACACUAAAGCGAUGGUUGAAAGUUGUAGCAUGUUAACUGUCAAUUAUAAUAAUGAACUGAAAAUAAAUGCUCAUGUUAAAGCACUACUGGUAAAGUUAGCAAGAGGUGAAUCGUCUCCGAGAUUGAUUUCCCCAUUUGUGAUUUUCAGCAUUGCUUGGAAGGAAAAGCGAGUGUUUCCCAAAUGACGCUAAGGUCUUAAAAGGAAGAUGACAAACAGACAUCUGCGGGGGAAAAUGUGCAGCUGAGGGGUUGGAUGUUGUGCAGGCAUGAGUUUUUUCCUUUUGCCCAAUCGAGAUUGGCUUUGGGAAGAAGAGAAAGGCGUUUGAUGGAGGCAGGUCCGUCCGUCCGUCCGUCCCUCAGGUGGGGAGAAGAGCCUGUGCUCCACCUGGCCAGUGAAGUGGUGGCUGGCUGCCCUGUCAAUGCCUUUGCCUUUUUUCACAAAAGAGGUAAAAAGGAGCUGUGCACUUGAAACUUUGAUGCUGGCAAGCCUACACGUACCGGGCAUUAUGGGAGUACCUCCUGUCUGUGGAGCUUGUGAGAUUAUGCAGCAGCAGCAGCAGCAGCAACAGCAACAGUCAAUUUGGGUAUAAGUAAAUCCUGCUGUGCAAUGCAAUGCACACUGAGCAGUGGGUGCCCCUUGUUCUUUUUCUGCAGAUCAAUGAUUGGGAGUUUUGAGGCAUAUGGUAGGUACUUUAUGGUUUCUUUUACCCUUAGGCGGCCGCUGUAGGGCACUAGCUGAGCUUGUGCCCCAGAUUGUUUGCAACACAGUUAAGCAGCAUGAGUCCAGGAACUGGGACUUGAGAGUGAGCAAUAUACUACUAUGUAGAAUUCUGCUGCGGCUGCAAGGCAAAAACAUUCCCUGUGCACAAGGACAAGUGUGCCUGUAUCAUCAUAUUGGAAGCAUGCGUUUGUUUAUUAAUAACCUCGCCAUGGAAACCGGUAAGCAGCAGAUCCCAAGAGCCUUGCCUUGGCUGUCCCAAGUACUCCCCCCCCCCCCCACAAGCACAAGCACAAGCACAAGCACUGGAGUCCAAUCCACUCCAGCAGCAGCAGCAGCAAGCAGGGCAGGUGGCCAUCUCAUCUCAUCCCACCCCAUUUCCAUGCAUCCUCUUGUGUGAUGCAAACAAUGUUGCAGCCAGCGCAGUCUGACAGAGGAGAUGAACAGUUCGCAGGCCCCUCCACCAGGUCCGGUGCGGCAGGCAGCGCCUUUAUCGGCCGCUACAGUCCCGGUCCUCGGUCGGCCCGCGAUCGCCCGCCCGCCCUUGCCAGUGGUGAGUGACAGCUUGCCCCGACGCCGUACGUACAUGUCCCAUGUGUGUUGCGUUGUUUACAGAGGAGGUGUUAGCAAUGGAGCUGCUGAUGAUGCAGCGAUGCUGAGGAGAGCAGAGCAGGCGCACACUACCAUUGCUAUGCCAUGAUCAAAUCUAUCUUCUACCCUUCGCCUAUCUGCUGCUUGAUGCUGCUGCUGCUGCUGCUAUCUUGGCUGCCGUGCUUGCUCCAACUGUGGCACACCAUUUGUUCCCUUGGCAAGGCACUCUUAAAUGGCCCGCACCCAGCGGUGCCCAUCUCUUCCUUUAAUGGCUUCUACUCUGCAUCGCGGGAGAAGGACCACAAGAAUGACAGAGAAAGUAAUCAGAG